rnacentral:rRNA from 1 species
CAGCGCCACAAGUGGGAGCCGCGAUUAUUGGGCCUAAAGCGUCCGUAGCCUGUCAAGUAAAUCUUUUGUGAAAUCGUCCAGCUUAACUGGACGGCGUGCAGAAGAGACUGCUUGACUAGGGACCGGGAGGAGUUAGGGGUAUUCCUUGGGGAGCGGUAAAAUGCUAUAAUCCUUGUAAGACCACCUGUGGCGAAGGCGCCUAACCAGAACGGGUCCGACGGUGAGGGACGAAAGCUAGGGGAGCAAUCCGGAUUAGAUACCCGAGUAGUCC